ACAGGUGCUGCAUGGCUGUCGUCAGCUCGUGUCGUGAGAUGUUGGUUAAGUCCGCAACGAGCGCAACCCUUGUCAUUAGUUGCUACAUUCAGUUGGGCACUCUAAUGAGACUGCCGGUGACAAACCGGAGGAAGGUGGGGAUGACGUCAAGUCCUCAUGGCCCUUAUAGGUAGGGCUUCACACGUCAUACAAUGGUCGGUACAGAGGGUUGCCAACCCGCGAGGGGGAGCUAAUCCCACAAAGCCGAAUCGUAGUCCGGAUCGCAGUCUGCAACUCGACUGCGUGAAGUCGGAAUCGCUAGUAAUCGUGGAUCAGCAUGUCACGGUGAAUACGUUCCCGGGUCUU
rnacentral:rRNA from 1 species